rnacentral:misc_RNA from 1 species
UCCGAGUUGACCCCGGCAGUCUCCCAUGAGUCCCCAGCCACCCCGAAGGGUGCUGCUGGCAACAUGGAACGAGGGUUGCGCUCGUUGCGGGACUUAACCCAACAUCUCACGACGCGAGCUGACGACAGCCAUGCACCACCUGUACACCGACUAAAAGGGGCUCUAUCUCUAGAGCUUUCCGGCGCAUGGCAAACCCAGGUAAGGUUCUUCGCGUUGCAUCGAAUUAAUCCGCAUGCUCCGCCACUUGUGCGGGCCCCCGUCAAUUCCUUUGAGUUUCAACCUUGCGGCCGUACUCCCCAGGCGGAUUGCUUAAUGCGUUAGCUGCGCCACUGAACAGCAAGCUGCCCAACGGCUAGCAAUCAUCGUUUACGGCGUGGACUAC